rfam:Hordeum vulgare subsp. vulgare, WGS project CAJW01000000 data, contig: morex_contig_140178
GGGAGAUGAGGAGUGGUACAGGCUCGCCUAAUUUAUGCGAGAGGGGUGCCCGCCCCAACAAGCCUGUUACGACACUGGGGCGUCCCCGUGAUUUACCAUCUGAUCCC